rnacentral:lncRNA from 12 species
CUGGCACUAACCAGAGCAAAAACAUAGUCUGUGAUGAUAGCCAGGAUCAUGUGAAGAGAUUCUAAUUUUAAAGACAAAAUUGAAUGAAUUCGGAAACCAAAAAGCUUGUUGAGCUACAAGGAAUUUUUGGAACAUGAAACACAUGUGAAGUCAUUUGAAGAAGGAACAGCUGUCGAGCCGUGGCAAGAGGAAGGCUGGCUCAAAAUGUGGGAGCAAAUUCCAAUAUGCUCCAAAUAUGGAAAUAACAGAAAUGUGUCACAGGUGCCUGUGGGCAACUGACAAGUCCAGAUCUUCCAAUCCCUUGAGCGCCAGCGACGUGUCAGACUCGGUACACGUGUCCUCUCACUGAAACAGGACAAGAGCAGUCCUCUUCCAGGUGAGCAAGCAGGGACAUGCAGCUACUGAGCCCUAGAACCGGGGCACAGCACAGGCAUUCUUAGCCUCAUUUUGCUGCUUUUAAGCACUUAAAAGAGGGGCAGGAUGAACAUAAAGUAGC